rnacentral:tRNA from 1 species
GGCCGGUUAGCUCAGUCGGCAGAGCGUCGUGCUAAUAACGCGAAUGUCAUGGGUUCGAGCCCCAUAACGGCCA